rnacentral:rRNA from 1 species
UACGGGGGGGGGCAAGCGUUGUUCGGAAUUACUGGGCGUAAAGGGCUCGUAGGCGGCCAACUAAGUCAGACGUGAAAUCCCACGGCUUAACCGUGGAAGUGCAUGGGAAACUGCAGAGCUUGAGUACUUAAGAGGAUCGCGGAAUUCCCGGUGUAGAGGUGAAAUUCGUAGAUAUCGGGAGGAACACCGGUGGCGAAGGCGGCGACCUGGGUAGAUACUGACGCUGAGGUGCGAAAGCGUGGGGAGCAAACAGG